CGUGAAACCGCUCAGAGGUAAACGGGUGGAGUUGAACUGCGAACCCCGAGAAUUCAACUGGUGAGUGUGGUAUGAGCUUGGCAUAAUGGUUGGCUUUGCGGGUCUGCUUAGCUGCAGGUCUUCACCUCUUGGUGGAGAUGCGCGAUACACUUGUCAAGUGGUGCGCGCUCGUUGAGUUACUCGGACAUGCUUGCCAGUGCACUUUCUCGGGGUGUUCACCACGACCGGCGCCGCUACUUGUCUAAUAUGGUUAAACCGGUCUUGCUUGGUCCUUGUGGCUUUGCUUGAUCGGGAUGGCAGGUAACUCGUUAACUUGUGUGUUGGCUUCGGUUGACAUGCGCUUGGUUUUCGAGUGUAAUCAGCUGACUGUAUUGGUGCUAUGUAGUGCGUCGGAGACGGCGGCUUGUGGUGUGUGCCUGCGUGCCUAUUUGCUGACGGAACCGGGUUUGGUUAUUUUGUUGCCUGUUCUGCAGGCCUGGUGAUGGCCCGGUUUCGCUUGGUGGAUGGGGGCGUGUGUGACACUUAUCAGGGCCUAUAGUCUGUGGUGUUGUGGUAGACUAUCCACCUGACCCGUCU
rnacentral:rRNA from 1 species